GACGAACGCUGGCGGCGUGCUUAACACAUGCAAGUCGAACGGUGAACGAGGGAGCUUGCUCCCUCCGGAUCAGUGGCGAACGGGUGAGUAACACGUGAGCAAUCUGCCCCGAACUCUGGGAUAAGCGUUGGAAACGACGUCUAAUACCGGAUACGACGCUGGACGGCAUCCUCUCCGCGUGGAAAGAACUUCGGUUCGGGAUGAGCUCGCGGCCUAUCAGCUUGUUGGUGAGGUAACGGCUCACCAAGGCGACGACGGGUAGCCGGCCUGAGAGGGUGACCGGCCACAAUGGGACUGAGACACGGCCCAGACUCCAACGGGAGGCAGCAGUGGGGAAUAUUGCACAAUGGGGGCAAGCCUGAUGCAGCAACGCCGCGUGAGGGACGACGGCCUUCGGGUUGUAAACCUCUUUUAGCAGGGAAGAAGCGAAAGUGACGGUACCUGCAGAAAAAGCACCGGCUAACUACGUG
rnacentral:rRNA from 1 species